CGCUCGGCCCCGCCGCUGCGCGCUCCGCACGCACGCCCUUCCACGCAGCGGGGCCUGCGCGUCACGAGGCGUCUUCGGGGCUCGGAAGAGUGUCAGAUUCUCUUGUUUUUCCCUCUGAGCGUCUAGACAGGUCACCUGAGGACACUCGCUGGAAAAUAGUUGCUUUGCUCACGCAGCAGCCAACGAGGGACGUGCCCUCGUUGAGCGAUCGGAAUGAAAGAUGAAUACAAUUUGAGUAACUUUCUCCUAGGCAGACGCAGGGUAGAUUUGAUUCGUCGUGGAUGUGUCCAGAGUGUGCAGCAGGGUGCUGUUACAAAUGGUCAAGUUACAUAAAGGGAGCAGCCAGGGCAGCUGGCGUGCAGGAAGCCGUCUACAUUUGCUUGCUGACCUAAAUAAUACCCAGGAGAAGAGUCCAAGCCCAGAAGCCCUUCAAUGUCUUAGGGCUGCACAGCUGACUGGCAGCUUCAGGCCCGUGCCGCAUCCUGUUUUGAAGAAGAGAGGCUGGAAGAAAUGUGAAAUGGAAGCAGGCUCAUCUGGGGAAUCAAAUCUAAUUUCUCAAAUCCGGGAAAACCAGGAUCGAAAUCAAUUUCAUCAACAUCCGUGGUUAGUUUGCAGCCGCUAGUGGCUCCUGACCGGUGUUUGCAUUCAUGACACAGCCACAAUCUGCAGAAUUGGUCUCUAAUCAAUAGCUCACAGUCGUUCUAGAAGACCGUCUCCCGCUCAAGCUUACAAGUAAAGGCUGUGUACUGCUGAGUGUGCUUUCCCUGUCAGUGGACAUCACAGAUAAAGGCUUUCUCUCUUUGUUUUGGUUCGUUUUGCUGUGUUGUGUUUUGAGACGGGAUCUCAUUUAGCCCAGGAUACCCUUCAGUUCACUAAAUAGCCGAGGAUAGUCUCGAACUUGUGGUCUUCCUGUGUUUUGCGGUUACAGACCAGUGCCACCACACUCAGCUGACUAUUCAGGUUUGAAACGAGAAAAAAGACCAACCAGUCGCUGGUGGCUGAAGCCUGUAAUCCCAGAAUUCUGGAAGCAGAGGAGGGGAGAUCGGGAGUACUAGGAUAGACUGGGUUACAAAGUGAGUCUCAGGGCAGUUCAAGCUAUCUAGCAAGACCUACUGGGGUUGUGGAAGGAGAAGGCACAAAGGAAUUUCGGGUCUUAGAGACAGCCAUCCCGCCGCAGCUUGGAGCUGAGCUGAGCCAAGUGCCUUUCUAGGAUGUUGAAAUCCACUGGAAUUUCAAAAGACAAAAGAAGCAGGGCUUCAAGCACAGAGCCACGUCACCCCCUAACGUUUGCUGACAAAACAAGGAAACAGUACACCCUGUUUAAGGGCUCCUGGUGGUCCUAGUAUCUCUGAUGGCCCUGGUAGCCCUGGAAGUCUUGGUGGCCCCACACAAUAUAAGCAGGAAUGAUACCUCUUGCCUGUAAUCCCAGCACUCUGGAAGUGGAGAGUAGAAGCUUAAAAAAAAAACACACAAACAAACAAACAAAAAAGCCAAGUCAGGAGCUGGAGAGGUGGCUCAGCGGUUAAGAGCACCGACUGCUCUUCCAGAGGUCCUGAGUUCAAAUCCCAGCAACCACGUGGUGGCUCACAACCAUCUGUAAUGGGAUCCGGU
rnacentral:lncRNA from 1 species